rnacentral:piRNA from 1 species
UUUGAUUUGUGAGGGUGAGUGUGUAGCA